rnacentral:rRNA from 1 species
CGGGUGAGUAACGCGUGGGUAACCUGCCUUGUACUGGGGGACAACAGUUAGAAAUGACUGCUAAUACCGCAUAAGCGCACAGCAUCGCAUGAUACAGUGUGAAAAACUCCGGUGGUACAAGAUGGACCCGCGUCUGAUUAGCUAGUUGGUAAGGUAACGGCUUACCAAGGCGACGAUCAGUAGCCGACCUGAGAGGGUGACCGGCCACAUUGGGACUGAGACACGGCCCAA